rnacentral:rRNA from 1 species
GACGAACGCUGGCGGCGUGCUUAACACAUGCAAGUCGAACGAAGUGGCGAACGGGUGAGUAACGCGAAAUCAAUCUGCCCUUCAGAGGGGGACAACAGUUGGAAACGACUGCUAAUACCGCAUACUGAAGGAGGGGAGUGCGUUGGAUUGGCGCGUUGGCGGGGUAACGGCCCAUCAAGGCGAUGAUCAGUAGCCGGGCUGAGAGGGUGAACGGCCACAUUGGGACUGGGACACGGCCAAGACGCCUACGGGAGGCAGCAGUGGGGAAUCUGCCGCAAUGGACGAAAGUCUGACGAAGCAACGCCGCGUGAGUGAUGACGGCCUUCGGGUUGUAAAGCUCUGUUAAUCGGGACGCGGUACCGGAAUAGAAAGCCACGGCUAACUACGUGCCAGCAGCCGCGGUAAUUC